UAGGAAUUGUAUAAUAUUUUCCCCAAAAAAAAACUCUUUUGUCGAGGCUCUGUCUUCUUCACAAUCUCAAUUCCCCUUCACACAUCGAACCUCCAUCUCUGACAACUUCAUCUCAGUCGCAGCCGCCUUUCGUUUCGUCACAUCCUCCCUAAAUCGGCAUCAUCUCUGUACACGAUGAAGCCUAACUCCGAACCCUAACUCCGAUUUGGCUUCGUCACAUCCGCCUCAAAAUCGAAGAAUAUUGAAACGGUGAGUGAUAAAUAUAUUAAUUUCAAGCCUUUUUCGAUAUGCAGAAACUGGUCCAGAGAGAAAUGGAGAAUGGUUGGUCUGUUCUGUCUACUGUCCAUGGGAUAUUUGGUAUUUCAAGCAAUAGUCGGAUCCCUUUGCAUUGUGGGUUUGAAGACACGCAAGACAACUCGGAGAAGAUUAAAGUGCAAACUUAUGCUUAGGUCAAUAAAGAAUAAAGAUGAUCGUCGUAUUGCUAACGGAUGAACUGUUUUUCACCAUUUUCUUGGCAGUGGAUCCUGAGAUUAUGGGUGUGUGUAGGAAUGGAGAGUGAUUCAUGGGAAUAAAUUUGUAUAGACAUUUAGGAAUAGGUUGGACUGGAACAUGAAUUCAAAUUGGGAAGAGAAGCGACGAUGCGUAGAACCACUAAUAUUGCUACUUUCCUGGCUGCUAACCCUUCUAGGGAAGAAAAGCAGGAGCACGAGUGUUCUUGAAUAAUGUGUGGAUAUGUGUUUAUUGUUUUUGGAGUCUUGGAUGUAGACAGUGGUCAAGAGUUUAUUGCUAGGGCUGUUCUUGUCUAGUUUAGUAGUUAUUGUAACAACUUUUUUUGUUGUUUCUCGUUUAGAUUUUCAACAUUUGAUUGUAUCAUUUAUCAAUGUAUAUCAGUUUAUCAA